rnacentral:ribozyme from 1 species
AGAAGAGGAUGCUUGCGGUUGUCUUUGGUCGAGAAAAAUAAAGAAAUUGAUCGAAUAUAUCAUCGAAAUAUAUAUAUUGUUUUUCCUCUCUUUCUCGAUCGUU